rnacentral:rRNA from 1 species
ACUCUUAGCAGUGGAUCACUCGGCUCGUGCGUCAAUGAAGAACGCAGCUAGCUGCGAGAACUAAUG